rnacentral:misc_RNA from 1 species
AAGUCGUAACAAGGUUUCCGUAGGUGAACCUGCGGAAGGAUCAUUACCAAUCUUAGCGGGCCUGGCCUUUAUUAACCAUGGUUUCGCGAUAAUCGUAUUUAAAACCCACUCUUAUAAAAUGAAUCAUUUUUUUUUUGUAUAAUAAAUAAAGAUCACUUUCAACAACGGAUCUCUUGGUUCUC